UAUGUCCAUGGAUAUAUGAACGUAAAAUGGACGUAAAAUGAACGUCCAUAAGACGUACUGCGCUAUUUGGGUCGUUAUUUGUGACCAUCACCUUCUAGUCUUAUUAUCGAUCGUAAGGUCGAUUGUCGCGUGGCACGCUGGAUCGCUUAUUUCGGUAAUGGACGAAGCGAAGAUACCUGCGUCGCACAUGAAUCCUGAGUUUCUUGCUAGAUUAAUUCCUCAAAACAAGGAGCAUGUGCGACCAGCUUGCAAAAAGUGCGGUUAUGCCGGACACUUAACCUAUCAGUGUCGCAAUUUCAUCAAGAUCGAUCCCAACAAGGAGAUUGUCCUGGACGUGAGUAGCACAAGCUCUGAUAGUGACGAAAAUUAUGUCACUCCAUUGACGGAGUUACGUGAACGUGAAUUGAAGAGGAAGUUAAAGGAAGCUAAGAAGAAGCGCAAGGAGAAGAAGGAAGCUAAGAAAAAACGUAAAAAACGCGAUAAAUCUAAGAUCAGCAAUAGCAGUGAGUCCGAAACAUCCAGCGAGGAAGAGGAAAAGAAGAGACAUAAGCGCAAAAGGAAGAAGAAACAUUCAAAACACAAAAAACGCAAGAAGCAUAAGAAAGACAGUUCGUCGGAAAGUGAUAAGCAACGGUGAUGAGGCAAAUUGUAUAUGACUUAUAAGUUCUCUUGUCUCGUGGAUAUAUUGAAUGAUGAUGCAACAAAAAUGACGGAUUGACUUCAGUCAAUAUACAUGUUUAUAAAUAUAAACUUUUGGUUUUCAAAUAUGUAGUGCUUCAAACAUUGUCAUAUCUAUUUUUAUUUGUGACUACCUA